GAAACCAUCAGCUUACAAGCAAUGGGAGGACGAUUUAAACGUCUGACCGUGUGCCUGUUGAAGAAUGAGCCGGCGACUUAUAGGUACAGGUAGAUUAAGCCGAGAAUGGCGAAGUCAAAGGGAAACCGAGUCUGAAUAGGGCGUACAUCUGUAUUUAUAGACCCGAACCCGGGUGAUCUAACCAUGGGCAGGAUGAAGCUUGGGUAACACCAAGUGGAGGUCCGAACCGACUGAUGAUUGAAAAAUCAGCGGAUGACCUGUGGUUAGGGUGAAAUGCCAAUCGAACCCGGAGCUAGCUGGUUCUCCCGAAAUGUGUUGAGGCGCAGCGGCAUGAUAUAGCAAGGGGUAAGCACUGAUCGGUGCGGGCUGCGAGAGCGGUACCAAAUCGAGUCAAACUCUGAAUACC
rnacentral:rRNA from 1 species